ACACUGUUGUCUCUUGCAUGCUUGGAGUAAGGAAAGCUCAUGAAGCUAUCAAAGAAGAGUGUGUGUCACUGCUGUCCAGUUUGCAUGUGUAUUCUGUGAUCUGUUUCUGUGUUAUUCCUGUGCUUCAUAUUCAUAGUAAUUGUGGGUUUGGAUCUUAAAAGCAGCUACGAUUCUGGCUGGUGUGGAAGGCUUGAUUGGAAACAUCAGAAUUGCACCAGGAUGCUAAGACAGGGUUGGCAGAAAGGGUUUUUUCUCCUGUGUGCCUCUGAUUAACGUUUUAAACUUGUUCUUUUGCUGUUGUUCUUACUGUUUUUGCUGACCUCCUUUUUUUUUUUUUUUAAAAGAACAUUGCCUUCAGAAUUGAGUCUCUCCCAGUGCUAGGGACAUGACUUGGGAAAGGGGUCUGGUGUGAUAAGCCAGGAGCGGGCUAUGCAUAGUUCCCCAGCUAAGCUGGUUAGUUUUGUCUCUUGAAAAGAAAAGCAUCAAUGGGGAUAAAAGGAAGUGCCUGUUCAGGAUCAGGCUGUGUUACCCAGCUGGCUAACACCCUUGUGUUGAGCAGCAGUGAUGUGUUGCGAGGAGGAUGAAGGUUCAUUAACUGUUUAAUUGGCAGAAAGGCUGGUGAGGACAAGCGGACCUCUUCAGUGCUACCAGAAGCCUACUUUUGUUUGCCAAAUUUUCUCAGAGUGCUGGGAAUACGAUAGUAGAUUGUGGGAUUUGGAUGAAUGCUGGUGCAACUAGCUGCAAAUGAUCUGCUCUUCCGUAUUUGUUUCCCUUUUCUUUGAUUUGCUUCCUGAAUUCUCGCUGCUUUUCUCCUUGACCGAAUUGUUGCUUUUCCUUGGGGGUGCCAGGGGACUCAAAGCGAAUCGGCGAAGGGAAGUGACAUGUUAUGUCAGCUGUCAGAGGUUUGGGUGAGCUCGAUGGAGCCACUUAAUAAUAAAGUUCCUUUAGUCAAAAA